AUGGAACGCCGACAGGGUCAAAUGUACUCGUAAUUUAAACGCGUAUUUUUGAUUGGACACCCGUUUAGGAAGCGCCUGCAGCUGUUUCAUAAGCGGCUGCAGCCGUAAAUGUGCAGGCGAAAGUUACACAUGAAUGUACGCGUUAGUUAACGCUUGCAGGCGUUAAAUAAACGCCUGUAUAUUUACACGUGCAAUUGCAGGCGUUAAAUAAACGCCUGUAUAUUUACACGUGCAAUUGCAGGCGUUAAAUAAACGCCUUUAUAUUUACACGUGCAAUUGCAGGCGUUAAAUAAACGCCUGUAUAUUUACACGUGCAAUUGCAGGCGUUAAAUAAACGCCACAUGCAAAUCACUGCCCACAAUUUCCCUAGCUACUCCUGCAGUUAUCUGGGCUAGUGUGAUUUGAUUCUUCCCUGUAUUUUCAAGUACCAGCUCCUCCCCACUGUAGAAGCGGAAGAUUUCAAAACAAGUUUAGCCCAGCACACAGAAGUUUGAAGGAUGAGAAGAUGGCAAGAAGGAACUUCAUAAGAUAGUGUAAGCAGACACUAAAUGACUGCACUCAGCUUUUACUGUCGGAUAACCCUGGACACGACGACCUUCAGUCCAUGUUGACAAAGGCUGGAAACAAUGCAGCGAAGCCUAGAGUGGGCAAAGGGGUACGCUCUUAAAUGUUGCUUCAGCAGACGGCCUGAUAGCUGAAGUGUCCGAGCUCAUGCAGGAGAGUCGCACCCAUGGUCGGCAUGCACAACCAGCCAGUUCCGGUUACCAGGCUCCAUUGACUUGGAGUGGAGCUAGAGGUGCUCCUCAUUAUCACAUCACCGGAGAGCAACUGAGGGGGUUGAUGAUAGAUGGCAGAUAUUCUUCACGUG